UGUAGUUUAGAAAUCCCUUGGAAGACUCUUAGGCACUGCUCUGUAGUGGAGUGAUACUUUUUGAAGCACUUUGUGUAUGUUUUGCUUCUUUCCGAUAUAAAUUAGCAGUGCUUAGUGUGAUUUUUAUGAAGUUAUUAAGCUCUUCAGUAGUUAAGGCAGUACAUUGAAUCGAAAACCUCUCCUCGGUUUAACUUUAUCAAAUAGCAAUUGCUUGAUUUACUUCUGA
rnacentral:lncRNA from 1 species